CAGUUUUAUUUAUCCUAUUGCAUAUUGGUAUCUUAUCUACCCAAUCAUUAUACAUAUCCUGUGCAUAAUAUACCUAAACAGAUAUGUGAAGAAAACAUGGGAAGAUGAUGUAAACAAUAUUCAAUCAUGAUUAAGAAUUAAAUAACAUAAUCCAUA